rnacentral:rRNA from 1 species
UACGUAGGGUGCGAGCGUUGUCCGGAAUUAUUGGGCGUAAAGAGCUUGUAGGCGGUUUGUCGCGUCUGCUGUGAAAAUCCGGGGCUCAACCCCGGACUUGCAGUGGGUACGGGCAGACUAGAGUGUGGUAGGGGAGACUGGAAUUCCUGGUGUAGCGGUGAAAUGCGCAGAUAUCAGGAGGAACACCGGUGGCGAAGGCGGGUCUCUGGACAGUUCCUGACGCUGAGGCACGAAGGUCAGGGGAGCAAACGGG